rnacentral:rRNA from 1 species
GCAAGUCGAGCGCAGUCCUUCGGGACCGAGCGGCGGACGGGUUAGUAACGCGUGGGAACAUACCCUUUGGUACGGAAUAGCCUCGGGAAACUGAGAGGAAUACCGUAUAAGCCCUUUGGGGGAAAGAUUUAUCGCCAAAGGAUUGGCCCGCGUAAGAUUAGAUAGUUGGUGGGGUAAUGGCCUACCAAGGCGACGAUCUUUAGCUGGUUUGAGAGGAUGAUC